rnacentral:rRNA from 1 species
UACGUAUGGAGCAAGCGUUAUCCGGAUUUACUGGGUGUAAAGGGAGCGCAGGCGGCUUUGCAAGUCUGAUGUGAAAGGCCGGGGCUCAACCCCGGGACUGCAUUGGAAACUGUAAAGCUAGAGUGCCGGAGAGGUAAGCGGAAUUCCUAGCGUAGCGGUGAAAUGCGUAGAUAUUAGGAGGAACACCAGUGGCGAAGGCGGCUUACUGGACGGCAACUGACGCUGAGGCUCGAAAGCGUGGGGAGCAAACAGG